rnacentral:rRNA from 1 species
GACGAACGCUGGCGGCGUGCUUAACACAUGCAAGUCGAACGGAAAGGCCCUGCUUUUGUGGGGUGCUCGAGUGGCGAACGGGUGAGUAACACGUGAGUAACCUGCCCUUGACUUUGGGAUAACUUCAGGAAACUGGGGCUAAUACCGGAUAGGAGCUCCUGCUGCAUGGUGGGGGUUGGAAAGUUUCGGCGGUUGGGGAUGGACUCGCGGCUUAUCAGCUUGUUGGUGGGGUAGUGGCUUACCAAGGCUUUGACGGGUAGCCGGCCUGAGAGGGUGACCGGCCACAGUGGGACUGAGAUACGGCCCAGACUCCUACGGGAGGCAGCAGUGGGGAAUAUUGCACAAUGGGCGGAAGCAUGAUGCAGCAACGCCGCGUGCGGGAUGACGGCCUUCGGGUUGUAACCGCUUUCGCCUGUGACGAAGCGUGAGUGACGGUAAUGGGUAAAGAAGCACCGGCUAACUACGUG